CAGUCGCCACGGGAAUACAGAGGGUGCAAGCGUUAAUCGGAAUUACUGGGCGUAAAGCGCGCGUAGGUGGUUUGUUAAGUUGGAUGUGAAAUCCCCGGGCUCAACCUGGGAACUGCAUCCAAAACUGGCAAGCUAGAGUAUGGUAGAGGGUGGUGGAAUUUCCUGUGUAGCGGUGAAAUGCGUAGAUAUAGGAAGGAACACCAGUGGCGAAGGCGACCACCUGGACUGAUACUGACACUGAGGUGCGAAAGCGUGGGGAGCAAACAGGAUUAGAUACCCCCGUAGUCCCUGUCUCUUAUAC
rnacentral:rRNA from 1 species